CGCAGCCGCGGUAAUUCCAGCUCCAAUAGCGUAUAUUAAAGUUGUUGCAGUUAAGAAGCUCGUAGUUGAAUUUCGGGAUCAAUGUUUCGGUCAUGCCCUUGGUAUGUACUGAUAUUAUUGGUUUCUCACCUUCUAAAGAACCGUAAUGCCAUUAAUUUGGUGUCACGGGGAACUAGGACUGUUACCUUGAAAAAAUUAGAGUGUUUAAAGCAGGCUCACGCUUGAAUACAUUAGCAUGGAAUAAUGAAAUAGGACAUCCGAUUCUAUUUUGUUGGUUUCUAGGAUCGAUGUAAUGAUUAAUAGGGAUAGUUGGGGGCAUUAGUAUUCAAUUGUCAGAGGUGAAAUUCUUGGAUUUAUUGAAGACUAACUACUGCGAAAGCAUUUGCCAAGGAUGUUUUCAUUAAUCAAGAACGAAAGUCAGGGGAUCGAAGACGAUCAGAUACCGUCGUAGUCUUAACCAUAAACUAUGCCGACUAGGGAUCGGAUGAUGUUAAUUUUUUAAUGACUCA
rnacentral:rRNA from 1 species